ACGACAAUAUAACAGUACGGUUUACAAGUAACAGUUAAACUGUCACGCUUAAAAUAUGUCGACUCCGUUGCAAACGCACUGUUUGUGUCCUGCCAUUUCCACGUGUUUUACAGUAAUGGGGGAGGGUAAGAAUGUCAAGCUCACGUUCGAUUGGUUAGAAUGGUCACUGUCAGCUGCGGUGCACUGGACGCCAUAUUGGUUUCAAAUUCUGACUCCUCCAGCCGCUCCAGUUGUUAUAUACGCUCUGUGGCUAGAGCCCGUUCAUUGGCUGGCUUCAGCAGCAGGUCCGAACUGCAGAAAAAGGUCCACACCGAGUCCUCAAGUCAGUAUCGAGCGUAAGAUCCCUACCACUAACUCGGAUACCUUUGGGAGACUGGAUAACCCACAGUAAUAUGGCAUCAGCUGUAAUUGCGCGUGGUUUGCAAACAGAGUUCGACGGUGUUAAUCUAUUUGAAACGGGAACGUGUUACAGCGUUGACGAAAACAAACCAACAACGCGCUUCACCACAGUAACUUCUGAUUUUGAGGAAUAUGCACCGGACGAUGACUUGAAUACAAGCUCUGGCCCUGGUAUAUGUCCCUGGACACUUGCUUGCACUUCAAGAAUCAGGGACAUUCUCAGAUGCUGCUGCUGCUGCUGUUACACUGUACCGGAGGACAUCAUUCAAGAACCUGAGCUCAGUUUUCCUUGCCAGGAGACUUCAAUGAGUUCUGUUCGGCCAUUCUGAUGGAAUCUUCUGAAGCAGCAACGUCAAAAGAUGAAGAUACAUCAGUUAUUACAUUUUACUUACUGAAGGGGGUGACCAACUGUCUUUGACUGAGGGAUAGUUUUUGCCAUAUUUUAUUAAAUAUUAAAGUGAAGGCUAUGGCCAGUUAUAUGCCAUCUGGCAGGAACAGCUCAGGGUUGAAGCCAGACGGUGUGGCCCAUAAAAACAGUGGAACAGUGCCUUAUAGGGAACCCCGCCUGUUAAGACUAGGGCUUAAUAUGUUGUAAAUGCCCUCAACUAUGGAAAUAUGUUGUAAAAACCAGACAAAAGAUUUCAGUUAUUAAAAAAAAAAAAACCAAGCCUUUAAUAGAAAUUUUGACCAAUGGAGAUUGGUCAUUAUUUUAGAUGUGCAAUGCACUUUGGAUAGGAAAGGAAAAGAAAAUGUUAUGACAAUUUAAUAUAUCAAAUAUAUUUUAGUAAGUAAAUAAUGUAAAUAACCAGUGUUUGUUUUGCCUGCACUCAGUUCCCCCACUUUGAGUCAAAGGAUUUCUAGUUGUAGGAAAUCAUUUUUGGAAGGAAUUUUAAAGGGAAGCCAACUGCAGGAAUGAGUUUACUUUGUAACAGACAAUCAAUGGGCUGUUCAGCAAAUGCUUUCUAAAAAAUGUGUAAUUGCA